rnacentral:rRNA from 1 species
GACGAACGCUGGCGGCGUGCUUAACACAUGCAAGUCGAACGGAAAGGCCCUGCUUUUGUGGGGUGCUCGAGUGGCGAACGGGUGAGUAACACGUGAGUAACCUGCCCUUGACUUUGGGAUAACUUCAGGAAACUGGGGCUAAUACCGGAUAGGAGCUCCUGCUGCAUGGUGGGGGUUGGAAAGUUUCGGCGGUUGGGGAUGGACUCGCGGCUUAUCAGCUUGUUGGUGGGGUAGUGGCUUACCAAGGCUUUGACGGGUAGCCGGCCUGAGAGGGUGACCGGCCACAUUGGGACUGAGAUACGGCCCAGACUCCUACGGGAGGCAGCAGUGGGGAAUAUUGCACAAUGGGCGGAAGCCUGAUGCAGCAACGCCGCGUGCGGGAUGACGGCCUUCGGGUUGUAAACCGCUUUCGCCUGUGACGAAGCGUGAGUGACGGUAAUGGGUAAAGAAGCACCGGCUAACUACGUGCCAGCAGCCGCGGUGAUACGUAGGGUGCGAGCGUUGUCCGGAUUUAUUGGGCGUAAAGGGCUCGUAGGUGGUUGAUCGCGUCGGAAGUGUAAUCUUGGGGCUUAACCCUGAGCGUGCUUUCGAUACGGGUUGACUUGAGGAAGGUAGGGGAGAAUGGAGUUCCUGGUGGAGCGGUGGAAUGCGCAGAUAUCAGGAGGAACACCAGUGGCGAAGGCGGUUCUCUGGGCCUUUCCUGACGCUGAGGAGCGAAAGCGUGGGGAGCGAACAGGCUUAGAUACCCUGGUAGUCCACGCUGUAAACGGUGGGUACUAGGUGUGGGGUCCAUUCCACGGGUUCCGUGCCGUAGCUAACGCUUUAAGUACCCCGCCUGGGGAGUACGGCCGCAAGGCUAAAACUCAAAGGAAUUGACGGGGCCCCGCACAAGCGGCGGAGCAUGCGGAUUAAUUCGAUGCAACGCGUAGAGCCUUACCUGGGUUUGACAUGGAUCGGGAGUGCUCAGAGAUGGGUGUGCCUCUUUUGGGGUCGGUUCACAGGUGGUGCAUGGCUGUCGUCAGCUCGUGUCGUGAGAUGUUGGGUUAAGUCCCGCAACGAGCGCAACCCUUGUUCACUGUUGCCAGCACGUUAUGGUGGGGACUCAGUGGAGACCGCCGGGGUCAACUCGGAGGAAGGUGGGGAUGACGUCAAGUCAUCAUGCCCCUUAUGUCCAGGGCUUCACGCAUGCUACAAUGGCUGGUACAGAGAGUGGCGAGCCUGUGAGGGUGAGCGAAUCUCGGAAAGCCGGUCUCAGUUCGGAUUGGGGUCUGCAACUCGACCUCAUGAAGUCGGAGUCGCUAGUAAUCGCAGAUCAGCAACGCUGCGGUGAAUACGUUCCCGGG